rnacentral:lncRNA from 1 species
UGGAGCCUGGGUGGUUCAUCUUCCUCCGUACACUUCUUAACGGGGAAUCAGAGAGACAGCCCCCGAUGAACUUCCCCGUCCCUCUUGUGUCGCUCCUGGAACCAAGUAAGGGAACAAGGAUGCACCCGGGAUCCUGUCGCCGAGCGAGAAAGUAAAGGGCACUGUCGCUUGGAACCAAGUUUUCAGGGGCUGCAACUACGAGGCAGAAAUCCGAGUCGGGUCCACAGGGAGGGAGGAAGGGACUCAGAUCACUCCACCUAGGCUUUCCCACGGUCUCUCCACCUUCUCCUUAACACCGGGAAACUGAAACACCCGUGGCGAGGGAAAGUUUCAGGACUUUUUGGAUCUUGGGACGGAUUAAUCCCUCAGAAUGUUGACAAGCUAAUUGAGGAAGGCUUUAAAAUAUGGCAUCUUGCCUAUGGGAUUUGUACGGUAGGUAAGAUUUAUAAGGUAGGUGGUCAUCCUCCUGGCAUAUCAUGAAUUCUAAACUACUAUUUAGAAGAUAAACUGUGGAAUUUGGACAGAUUCUAAGGCUUCUCUCCCCAUACAGGGAAAUAAUGACAUCCAUGGCUACAGAGUCUUGAUGUCAAAGAUUUCAAACAUUUAAUAAGGU